UCUUUACAAACAAAAACACACAGAGUUUAGAUCGGUAGAAUACAAAUAAGCUACUGGGUAAAGUGAUUAGUGUUAGAAAUUGGUUUGAUGGUGGAUAUCUAAUAUCAAUUAUCAAACAACAGAACUUUGCUAAAAAAGAGAACAAUAGAGCAAGACCAUUCCACAUGUGAUAUACUUUUUUUGUAUCAUCAACCUCAAAAUCUAUGCUUAAAAGAUCGUAGGAAAGUGGCAGACAAUCAAGCCCACGCAAAAACAGAAUAUGCAU
rnacentral:lncRNA from 1 species